rnacentral:tRNA from 1 species
UGUAAGAAAGACUAAGGGAUAGUCUUCGGGC